rnacentral:rRNA from 1 species
CUCGUAGGCGGUUCGUCGCGUCCGGUGUGAAAGUCCAUCGCUUAACGGUGGAUCUGCGCCGGGUACGGGCGGGCUGGAGUGCGGUAGGGGAGACUGGAAUUCCCGGUGUAACGGUGGAAUGUGUAGAUAUCGGGAAGAACACCAAUGGCGAAGGCAGGUCUCUGGGCCGUUACUGACACUGAGGAGCGAAAGCGUGGGGAGCGAACA